UACGAAGGUGGCAAGCGUUGUUCGGAUUUACUGGGCGUACAGGGAGCGUAGGCGGUUGGAUAAGCCCUCCGUGAAAUCUCCAGGCUUAACCUGGAAAGUGCAGAGGGGACUGUUCAGCUAGAGGAUGGGAGAGGAGCGCGGAAUUCCCGGUGUAGCGGUGAAAUGCGUAGAGAUCGGGAGGAAGGCCGGUGGCGAAGGCGGCGCUCUGGAACAUUUCUGACGCUGAGGCUCGAAAGCAUGGGGAGCAAACAGG
rnacentral:rRNA from 1 species